ensembl:misc_RNA Metazoa_SRP Metazoan signal recognition particle RNA
GCCGGGCAUAGUGGCGGGUGCCUGUAAUCUCAGCUACUUAGGAGGCUGAGGCAGGAGAAUCGCUUGAACCCAGGAGGCAGAGGUUGCAGUGAGCCAAGAUUACACCACUGCACUCCAGCCUGGGUGACAGAGGGAGACUCUGUCUCAA